rnacentral:rRNA from 1 species
GGGGAAUCUUGCGCAAUGGGCGAAAGCCUGACGCAGCAACGCCGCGUGAGUGAUGAAGGCCUUCGGGUUGUAAAGCUCUUUCAGCAGGGACGAAAAUGACGGUACCUGCAGAAGAAGCCCCGGCCAACUACGUGCCAGCAGCCGCGGUAAUACGUAGGGGGCAAGCGUUGUCCGGAUUUAUUGGGCGUAAAGAGCUCGUAGGCGGUUCCGUAAGUCGGUUGUGAAACCUCAGGGCCCAACCCUGAGCCUGCAGCUGAUACUGCGGUGACUAGAGUCCGGUAGGGGAGCGUGGAAUUCCUGGUGUAGCGGUGAAAUGCGCAGAUAUCAGGAGGAACACCGAUGGCGAAGGCAGCGCUCUGGGCCGGCACUGACGCUGAGGAGCGAAAGCGUGGGUAGCAAAC